rnacentral:piRNA from 1 species
GAGGAGCCAUAAGGGAGAUGGAUUGUCCCC